rnacentral:rRNA from 1 species
AUUGAACGCUGGCGGCAGGCCUAACACAUGCAAGUCGAGCGGUAGAGAGAAGCUUGCUUCUCUUGAGAGCGGCGGACGGGUGAGUAAUGCCUAGGAAUCUGCCUGGUAGUGGGGGAUAACGUUCGGAAACGGACGCUAAUACCGCAUACGUCCUACGGGAGAAAGCAGGGGACCUUCGGGCCUUGCGCUAUCAGAUGAGCGUAGGUCGGAUUAGCUAGUUGGUGGGGUAAUGGCUCACCAAGGCGACGAUCCGUAACUGGUCUGAUAGGAUGAUAAGUCACACUGGAACUGCGACACGGUCCAGACUCCUACGGGAGGCAGCAGUGGGGAAUAUUGGACAAUGGGCGAAAGCCUGAUUCAGCCAUGCCGCGUGUGUGAAGAAGGUCUUCGGAUUGUAAAGCACUUUAAGUUGGGAGGAAGGGCAGUAAAUUAAUACUUUGCUGUUUUGACGUUACCGACAGAAUAAGCACCGGCUAACUCUGUGCCAGCCGCCGCGGUAA